UACGUAGGUGGCAAGCGUUGUCCGGAUUUACUGGGCGUAAAGAGCGCGCAGGCGGUCGAAUAAGUCGAAUGUGAAAGCCCCCGGCUCAACUGGGGAGGGUCAUUCGAUACUGCUCGACUUGAAGGCAGGAGAGGGUAGUGGAAUUCCCGGUGUAGUGGUGAAAUGCGUAGAUAUCGGGAGGAACACCAGUGGCGAAGGCGACUACCUGGCCUGUUCUUGACGCUGAGGCGCGAAAGCUAGGGGAGCAAACAGG
rnacentral:rRNA from 1 species